rnacentral:lncRNA from 1 species
AGGAUCUGUUCUUUGAAGACUGUUUAGAAGAAAAGGUUAAAUGAUCCACUACCAGUGUGCCACCUUUGUGUACGAAAGGAGACACCAGAAGAGCAAAGUAUCAUCACAUACUGCGGUAAAGAGAUUUUGCUGUCAAGGUUGAUAUGAUGUCACUUCCUUCAAAGUCCAAGAACAAGCCUUGUUUGGUCUCUGUCUCAUUCCGCUGCAGGGUGCGUCAAGAAUUCGGUCAAAGGAUUCUGGCACAGAAAAAUCCUUGAAAGUCAGGAUGUUUGCAAGCCCACAAGAUACCUGUGUGUGAACUAGAAUGAAGGUGUACCCAUCUCUGGAUUAACACAGUUCUGCACCAUGAUGAACAGAGUAUGGGCUGGAUUUCAGACCCCCAUUCACCCCUCAGCUGGAGCCCUUGUACAGGGCACAACCAUACAGCGUGGCCCUGAUGAGGAUAGUAGCAAUGCCUAAUCAUUGAACUCACUGUUCCUAAUAAGUACAGUUUUCACAGAAGGUACUGGAUGACUAUGCAGAAAUGAAAAUAAGGAACUCAAAAAUAUUCUAGACCUGUCUUAGAUCAGACCAAGAUCACCAAAAUGACCCCCACAUGUGCCUGGACCAAGUGAAAUUUCUCUUAUUUAAGCUAAAAAGGCAUGGGAUAAAUGUCUAAGCUUAAAUGCAGUGCAAGAGUACCAGCAUUUUUAUUUAUUCAAACGUUUUUCUCAUAAUAUGUAAUCUUGCAACUACCUUUAGUGAUUUCCAAAACUACAUUAUUUUGGGGUGGUGUAUAAUUUAGGAGCAAUGAUAUGUUAAAAAUAAAUGAGAUUGAGACAACUUUUGAAUGAGGGCAUGAGGGAUUCUGCAGAGCUUCUCUCCAGUAAAACAGCCAUAACUGGUGAAUAUUAUUUCAAAAAACCCCGAACACUCACUGUUUAAAGUCUCUGGAAAAUGUGCAGGACAUACAUCAAAUGAAGAAACAUUUAUUCAAGAAAAUCUACUACAUUUUACUAAGAAUAGUGAGAAUGUCUGACAUUUGAGCCACAACCCGCUCCUCUGCCCCAACUGCCUUCCCCUCCCUGAAGCUCCAAGUGAGGGAAGAUCCACUUCGUGUAGGUGUCACCAAGAACACAUGGCUCCCGCUCCCUCUGAGCUCCCAGUCAAGGAAUACGGUACCUCACUGGGAGGGGCAGGCAUGCCAGCUUCUCUCACCUCCCAUCCACCUCAAGUCCCAUGUUGCAGAGGUUUGAUUCCAGGUACAGCAGCCUGAGAGUACCAAAGCCCCGUCUGUCCUCCUCCCAACUUGCUGAUGGUGAAAAGGUUCUGCAUUUGUAUAGGCAAGCUGAAGAAAACAGGCUGCUGCUGCCCCAGCCCAGCACUGUGCUCAGUCACGAAGCAUCGCUCCAAGAGAAACAGGCCACUCUCUUGCCCCCAGCUCUGGAGCAGUGGCCCAGAGGUUUUGCCUAAGGGGAGAAGCAGAAAGUAAGAACAGAGAACACAAACGCUCUCCCCAAGUGAACUGACUUUAUUUGGACCAGAAUGUUGGGAAGUUUAAGCCUGAGGGUACUCUUGAAAAUAGUGGAGAUUGUGGUGGUAAGCAAUUAAAAGGAGGCUGGUAGCUCCAGGAAAGCAAUAAGCUACACCACAG